GGAAAAUCACUAGCAAACUGACUCUCAAAGCUGAGGCUUGGCACGUUAGAGAAGAUCUUCCAAAUCACUAGAUGCUGGCCGUAAAAGAAUAAUUUGGCAGAAAAUAUAUCGACGCUAAGAACCCACUGAAUUUUUUUAAUGCGGGAAGAAGGCUAGAAGCAAACUGUAGAAAUAUUUGUUAAAGUUUCUGCAAGAUAAUGUGAAUAUAGUCUGACCAUAUAUAUAUGUACAAGAUUCUGCUGGGCUAGGAAAACGAAAGAAAGAAAGAAAAUGAGAAAAAUGGAACAAUAACUUGAAGAAACUCAAUUAUAACUUAUAAGUUACAGGUUACCGAAAGCCGAUAUAAACAAGUUAACUCCGCAUUCUUUUCUUUUGAAUACCCUCUUCAGUUAAUUCCUGCAAAUAAAAAAAUGGAAAAAAAAGAAUUAUUUCUUAAGUCAGCAACAGAAAGCACGUAGUACUAAAUACAGCAAACAAGGCAAAUAAUUAAUACUUGAACAAGUUUCCAACUAAAAUGGGCAUUAUCCUUAAACUGAAAGCAUAAAUAUUACAAAACCUUACUAGAUGAGAACAUAAAAAUUAACUGGUAUAUAUUUAAUUUUCCAGUAAGAUUAAAAAAUGAUUAUUGGGUAUUAAUGAAAGAAAGUUUCCUUAAGCAGCUUUCACAUAGAUUCAUGUGCAUCUCAUGGUUUUCCUGGUGAACAGUGUUUCAAGAUACUACAACAGUGAGAGUUCAGUGCAUUCAAACUUGCAGUUUGAUGGUAACUACAAGUUCCAUAUAGAUACCAUGGAUCCAACGCAAAAUGCAAAGUAAACAUCAUGAUUUGAACUUGGAGAAAAUCAGCUUACAGAUAAAAUGAAGAAAAUAAAUAAAACUCUGUACACACAGAAAUAUCACAGGCUAAGAACGGGCUGAAUGUCAAUGAAUCUCCAAAAGAAUCUACAUGUGCCACCCAGCCAAAUAGGGGAAACAUUCUCUGAAAAA
rnacentral:lncRNA from 1 species